GUGUGUGUGUGUGUGUGUGUGUGUGUGAGUGUGAGUAUGUGUGUGUGAGUGUACAUGUGUUAUAUUGUCUGUGCAGAUUGUUAGACUGUCCCAUCUUGCCAGGUCAUGGGUGCGUCCACCAUUCCACACACACUCACACACACACACACUCACUCACACACACUACCGCGUACUGUAGGUACCAUACUUGUGUCCACCGGUAUUGUGGUUCCUGAAUGGCUUGUUUGUGAACACGUGACUAUACAGUGGGCAUUACUUCAAAUUGUGUGUGUGCCUGCGUGCAUGUGUGUGUGUGGUGUGUGUACAGUGGGCAUUACUUCAAAUUGUGUGUGUGCCUGCGUGCAUGUGUGUG